CUUAUCCCUAAAAAUAUGGAGAAGCAGUUCUGCAGCUGGGUGCCAGUUUUGCCUUGUCUUCUUGGUGGGCGUGGUGCCUGUUGCUUUUCAGCUGACUCUCUCCUCAUUUGGACUUAGCAGUACUGGAUAAGGAGGCUUUGGGACCUCAUGCUAGCCUUUGACAUCUGAGAAAUGCCUUUGACUUCUGAGAAACGUGCAGUGGAAGCUGGAAUGUCCCCUACCCUUAAACUUAGUUACCUCCUGGAUGCAAGGACUCUGCAGAUUUCAUCAGUGGUUUUCAGAAUAGGCAAAAGUAUUAACAACCAAGCAUUUCCUUAGUUGGAGUUUUCACUAUCAGUGCAUUGGACACCUGCUUUCAGGAGCUCAAACCACUACUCAGGUAUCAGAUUUUGUCUAACAUUAAGCCUUUAGGCCUUCCUCUAGUCCUCUUCUCUCAACUUUUG
rnacentral:lncRNA from 1 species